GCCCUCCUCGACUUCUCCUUGGCUUCCAUCACCACCGCAAGUCUCUCGAGAUAUCGCGGCAGCAUUCCCACGAAAAAGGGAUGCAUUCAUAGUUUUGCCUGCUUUGCUCUUCCCUGCCCUUCCCGCCCACCCACACGGCCGCCGCCCUUCCUUCGCAUCCUGCACACCCCCACGCACCCACCCACACCCACACACACGCGCGCCUAAAAAAAAGAGAAGCAGUUGGCAGUCGCCUGCUUUUUCUGUUCUCGCUUUCUCUGCUGCCCCUCCUCCUUGUCCUCAUUCUGCCGUGGGUGGGCCGAGAGGUGACGCAACGCGGAAGGGCAGAGGGUGCGGAGGGCGCCAUGGCGUUGUAACGUGGAGCCCAACCGUGACGCAGAAUACGCAGGGUGACUUCGUGUUCCAUCGCUGGGGCGUGAGCUCUGCCCUUCCCCCUUCCCCCUUCCCCUCCACCCCACUGUUUGCUAUUUCACGUCUCAUUUUUCACGGCCUCCAUGAUUCUCCGGUGUGUGUGUGUGUGUGGCCGCCCACCUCCCUGCCCCGUUUUUCUUUUCCUCCUCUUUGUCUCGUAUCACUGGAGCGACUUGAUGCUUGACAUUGGCGUUUCUUGUUUCGACGAAAAAAAAGCCGAAAGCGUGAGUUCGGCGAGCACACGCAACGACGACUUGCCAUCGCGCAUCGAGCCUGUUUUCUGGAGUCUUCAAAAAAAAAACGGAGCGGAAAUACGCAAACACACACACA
rnacentral:misc_RNA from 1 species